GUAGUACUCCCUCCGUCCCAAAAUUCUUGUCUUACAUUUGUUUAGAUAAAGAUGUAUCUAACACUAAAAUGUAACUAGAUACAUCCGUAUUUAGAAAAAUUUAAGACAAGAAUUUUGGGACGGAGGGACUACAAA
rfam:Triticum aestivum genome assembly, contig: Triticum_aestivum_CS42_TGACv1_scaffold_501782_6BL